GCAGUGGGUACGGGCAGGCUAGAGUGCGGUAGGGGAGAUGGGAAUUCCUGGUGUAGCGGUGGAAUGCGCAGAUAUCAGGAGGAACACCAAUGGCGAAGGCACAUCUCUGGGCCGUAACUGACGCUGAGGAGCGAAAGCGUGGGGAGCGAACAGGAUUAGAUACCCUGGUAGUCCACGCCGUAAACGGUGGGUGCUAGCUGUGGGCCACAUUCCACGUGGUCCGUGACGAAGUUAACACAUUAAGCACCCCGCCUGGGGAGUACGGCCGCAGGCUAAAACUCAAAGGAAUUGACGGGGGCCCGCACAAGCGGCGGAGCAUGCGGAUUAAUUCGAUGCAACGCGAAAAACCUUACCAAGGCUUGACAUAUAGAGAAAAGUGCAAAAUGCACUCCCCGCAAGGUCUCUAUACAGGUGGUGCAUGGUUGUCGUCAGCUCGUGUCGUGAGAUGUUGGGUUAAGUCCCGCAACGAGCGCAACCCUCGUCCUAUGUUGCCAGCACGUAAUGGUGGGAACUCAUGGGAUACUGCCGGGGUCAACUCGGAGGAAGGUGGGGAUGACGUCAAAUCAUCAUGCCCUUAUGUCUUGGCUUCACGCAUGCUACAUGCCGGUACGAGGCUGCAUCCGCAGGGGAGCGAUCCCAAAAGCGGCUCAGUUCGAUUGAGCUGCACUCGACUCAGAGCGAGUCGUAGAUCGUAAUCAGCACGCUACGUGAUACGUCCGGUCUUGACCA
rnacentral:rRNA from 1 species